rnacentral:rRNA from 1 species
GAUGAACGCUGGCGGCGUGCCUAAUACAUGCAAGUCGAGCGAACAGAUGAGGAGCUUGCUCCUCUGACGUUAGCGGCGGACGGGUGAGUAACACGUGGAUAACCUACCUAUAAGACUGGGAUAACUUCGGGAAACCGGAGCUAAUACCGGAUAAUAUAUUGAACCGCAUGGUUCAAUAGUGAAAGACGGUUUUGCUGUCACUUAUAGAUGGAUCCGCGCCGCAUUAGCUAGUUGGUAAGGUAACGGCUUACCAAGGCAACGAUGCGUAGCCGACCUGAGAGGGUGAUCGGCCACACUGGAACUGAGACACGGUCCAGACGCCUACGGGAGGCAGCAGUAGGGAAUCUUCCGCAAUGGGCGAAAGCCUGACGGAGCAACGCCGCGUGAGUGAUGAAGGUCUUCGGAUCGUAAAACUCUGUUACUAGGGAAGAACAAAUGUGUAAGUAACUAUGCACGUCGUGACGGUACCUAAUCAGAAAGCCACGGCUAACUACGUG